CGAGUGGCGGACGGGUGAGUAAUGUCUGGGAAACUGCCCGAUGGAGGGGGAUAACUACUGGAAACGGUAGCUAAUACCGCAUAACGUCGCAAGACCAAAGAGGGGGACCUUCGGGCCUCUUGCCAUCGGAUGUGCCCAGAUGGGAUUAGCUAGUAGGUGGGGUAACGGCUCACCUAGGCGACGAUCCCUAGCUGGUCUGAGAGGAUGACCAGCCACACUGGAACUGAGACACGGUCCAGACUCCUACGGGAGGCAGCAGUGGGGAAUAUUGCACAAUGGGCGCAAGCCUGAUGCAGCCAUGCCGCGUGUAUGAAGAAGGCCUUCGGGUUGUAAAGUACUUUCAGCGGGGAGGAAGGGAGUAAAGUUAAUACCUUUGCUCAUUGACGUUACCCGCAGAAGAAGCACCGGCUAACUCCGUGCCAGCAGCCGCGGUAAUACGGAGGGUGCAAGCGUUAAUCGGAAUUACUGGGCGUAAAGCGCACGCAGGCGGUCUGUUAAGUCAGAUGUGAAAUCCCCGGGC
rnacentral:rRNA from 1 species